ACCAAUAUAUCCACACUCUAGGUUGGUCC
rnacentral:piRNA from 1 species